rnacentral:rRNA from 1 species
CCUACGGGAGGCUGCAGUGAGGAAUAUUGGUCAAUGGGCGCAAGCCUGAACCAGCCAAGUCGCGCGAGGGAUGACGGUCCUAUGGAUUGUAAACCUCUUUUGUCGGGGAGCAAGGCGCGCCACGUGUGGCGGGAAGGAGAGUACCCGAAGAAAAAGCAUCGGCUAACUCCGUGCCAGCAGCCGCGGUAAUACGGAGGAUGCGAGGGUUAUCCGGAUUUAUGGGGUUUAAGGGGUGCGUAGGCGGAAGGUUAAGUCAGAGGUCAAAUGGCGGGGCUCAACCCCGGCCUGCCGUUGAAACUGGUCUUCUUGAGUGAACGAGAAGUAUGCGGAAUGCGUGGUGUAGCGGUGAAAUGCAUAGAUAUCACGCAGAACUCCGAUUGCGAAGGCAGCAUACCGGCGUUCAACUGACGCUGAGGCACGAAAGCGUGGGGAUCGAACAGGAUUAGAUACCCGUGUAGUC